rnacentral:lncRNA from 1 species
GUGGGGUGUUAUAGUUAAUCUUAUGCAAAAAUUAUGAUAAAAUAAUUCACUAAGGAUUAGUGAAUUAUAAGAGAAUUAAUUAGCAAUUAGAUUGCUGAUUAGCUCAAUUUGAUUGAGCAAUGAGAUUUAGAUCAAGUCUAAUUGAAUUAGAUUUAAUUAAGUUAGACCCGAUUAAAUUAUAAGAUGACCUAAUCGCUAAGGAUGUUUGAUUCCUGGUUUGAUCAAAACUUGAGCUCGAUUAAUUUUUAAUUGG